AUAAUUGGGCUAUUCCAUUUAAUAUCCGUACCCCCCCUGUCGAGGAUCCCUGGAAUUCUUCAGGGGUAAAGGGUUUUGAGCUUGGAAUUCUUCAGGGGUAAAGUGUUUUGAGCUUGGAAUUCUUCAGGGGUAAAGUGUUUUGAGUUUGGAAUUCUUCAGGGGUAAAUGGUUUUGAGCUUGGAAUUCUUCAGGGGUAAAGGGUUUUGAGCUUGGAAUUCUUCAGGGGUGAAGAGGUUUGAGAUUUUUCAGAGCUUGGAAUUCUUCAGGGGUGAAGGGUUUUGAGCUUGGAAUUCUUCAGGGGUAAAAGGUUUUGAGCUUGAAAUUCUUCAGGGGUAAAGGGCUUUGAGCCUGGAAUUCUUUAGGGGUGAAGGGUUUUGAGCUUGGAAUUCUUCAGGGGUAAAAGGUUUUCAGCUUGGAAUUCCUCAGGGGUAAAGGGUUUUGAGCUUGGAAUUUUGGAAUUCUUCAGGGGUAAAAGGUUUUGAGCUUGGAAUUCUUCAGGGGUAAAGAGUUUUGAGCAUGGAAUUUUGGAAUUCUUCAGGGGUAAACAGUUUUGAGCUUGGAAUUCUUCAGGGGUAUGACAAUGAAAAACAUGUAUCCUCGACAGGGGGGUACGGAUAUUAAAUGGAAUAGCCCA